UAUAUCUUAUAUAUAAUAAGCGGCAAUAAGCAAGGAGGUGUCGUCCAUCUUUUAUUUCCAAUUUUGCCCUUUAUUUCGUAUUUCUUUACGUUUCUGUCCCUCAGUUCUAACAUUUAUACCAAUUUCACCCCUGCUUUUGAAGCAGGCAGCUGUUGUCUAACAUGUUGUUUUUCGAUUUUGCCCUUCAUUUUCUAUAUCUUUUCCUGCUCUAUCCUUGACUUCUCCUAGGUUCUGGUUUUGUUUUUCGCUUUGGACCUUUUUUUUUUUCCGUCGUUAUCUUUAACUACCCUUUUCUUCCGCUUUCCCAAUUCCUGUGUUUUAAUCUUAUCUCUGAUUUCUUUUUCCCACUGCUUCUAUCACUUCGUUUAUUUUCUACUGUUUUCCUCUUUUCAGAUUCUAUUUUGUUUUUUCUGCUUUCCACCGCUUCCACCGCCUGCCGCUUGGUAUAAGAGUGAUUUCCAUCUCUUUAUUUCCUCCCAAAUCUGUUUCUUCGCUUUUGGGUUCGCCUCUCAACUCUCCAGUUUCACAGAGGAGGUUGAGAAGUACCUUUCCGGGUUCACAAAAGUGGACGACAAUCGAUACUCAAUGAAAAUCUUUUUUGAGAUAAGGAAGCAAAAGUAUCUUGAGACAUUGGAUAAGCAUGAUCGUUCCAAGGCUGUGGAUAUAUUAGUAAAGGAUUUGAAAGUUUUUGCCACAUUUAAUGAAAAGCUUUUCAAGGAAAUCACUCAGCUCUUGACAUUGGAGAAUUUCAGAGAAAAUGAGCAACUUUCCAAAUAUGGAAAUACCAAAUCUGCUAGAGCAAUCAUGUUGGUGGAGCUUAAAAAAUUAAUUGAAGCAAAUCCUUUAUUCCGUGAUAAAUUGCAAUUCCCAAACCUUAAAAAUUCAAGGUUACGGACUCUCAUCAACCAAAAGUAACUCAUUUAAAGAUGCUUUAGUCUUCUCACCAACAAACCUUACUUCUUGUUGGUACCAAUGUUGGGGACAUUGGGUUGUGGGAAGUUGGUUCUAGGGAGCGGUUAGUUUUGAGGAAUUUCAAAGUUUGGGAUCUCAGUGCAUGUUCAAUGCCUCUGCAGGCAGCUCUGGUUAAAGAUCCUGGUGUAUCUAUUAAUCGUGUGAUUUGGAGCCCUAACGGUUCUUUGUUUGGAGUUGCAUAGUCCAGGCACAUCGUUCAAAUAUAUUCUUAUCAUGGGAAUGAUAAUAUACAGUAGCACCUGGAGAUUGAUGCUCAUGUUGGCGAGGUAAAUGACAUCGCAUUCUCCCACCCAAACAAGCAACUUUGUCUGAUAACCUGUGGUGACGAUAAGACCAUCAAGGUGUGGGAUGGCACUACUGGUGCAAAGCAGUAUACGUUUGAAGGUCAUGAGGCUCCUGUUUAUUCUGUCUGUCCUCACUAUAAGGAAAACAUUCAGUUUAUCUUUUCAACUGCACUGGAUGGAAAGAUAAAAGCAUGGUUGUAUGACAACUUGGGAUCUCGAGUUGAUUAUGAUGCUCCUGGUCGCUGGUGCACGACAAUGGCUUACAAUGCAGAUGGUACCAGG